CAAAAACCUCAUGUCCAUCUGAAGAUAAGCAUUUCAACAUCCCCUCAGAUACCUUCUUGUAUUAUGAAAGUGAGGAAAGGGUCUGACCUUAUCCUUGUUCAUCCAUGCUAAACAGCCAAAUUAUGAGCACCAGAUCUACACCCUGAGAGAUGUGCACAUCCUAAAGUUCUUCCUCCAAAGAUCUACUGCUUUGCUGUAGCUAUGAGCCACAACAGCAACAAAGGAUAUGUUAAUCUACUAAGGAAUAAGUGUUUUGUGAAAACAUGGAGAAUCCAGAACUAUAUGCAACUCACACAAGUAAAUUCAUACAAACAUUGCCUUGUGAAGGUGGAGUGCUCUAUUUCUUGGCUGUAUAUUGAGACACUGAAGGUGAGCUCACACACUGAACCAAAACCACAAACCAAACUGACACCAGCUGUGAUCCAUAUCCAAAAAUUUAUUCCAAGAACCUUCAAAUAACAUUUUAGAAUUUACCCUUCAAUGCCCAAACCAAAAUUGUUGCUAUGGCAAAACCUACGUGUCAUCUGAAAAAGAUACAGAGCCACACAUCAAAUAAAGAGCAUAAUGCAUCACA
rnacentral:lncRNA from 1 species